rnacentral:rRNA from 1 species
UACGUAGGGUGCGAGCGUUAAUCGGAAUUACUGGGCGUAAAGCGUGCGCAGGCGGUUUGGUAAGCCAGAUGUGAAAUCCCCGGGCUUAACCUGGGAAUGGCAUUUGGGACUGCAAGGCUGGAGUUUGGCAGAGGAGACUGGAAUUCCCGGUGUAGCAGUGAAAUGCGUAGAUAUCGGGAGGAAUACCGAUGGCGAAGGCAGGUCUCUGGGCUAUAACUGACGCUCAUGCACGAAAGCGUGGGGAGCAAACAGG